rnacentral:rRNA from 1 species
UACAGAGGGUGCAAGCGUUAAUCGGAAUUACUGGGCGUAAAGGGUGCGUAGGUGGUUUGAUAAGUUGGGUGUGAAAGUCCUGGGCUUAACCUAGGGAUUGCGCUCAAUACUGUCAAGCUAGAGUACUGUAGAGGAAGGUGGAAUUUCCAGCGUAGCGGUGAAAUGCGUAGAUAUUGGAAGGAACAUCAGUGGCGAAGGCGACUUUCUGGACAGAUACUGACACUGAGGCACGAAGGCGUGGGGAGCAAACAGG